AAGUCGUAACAAGGUUUCCGUAGGUGAACCUGCGGAAGGAUCAUUAACAAUGUGAGAUGGCCGCGGUGGGGCAUUGCCCUGCCGCUGCGCACUCCCAUUACACCCCUGGCCUACCCCCCCAAGGGGUGGGUUUCAUGUGUCCACCCUCUGUGAAACUCUUCCAUAUGCUUCGGCAGCACCUCUCCCGGGGGGGUAAGGCUGCCAGAAGCUCAUAUCAAGAAUCAGUUGAUGAAAAUAUAAUGUCCGACUACUAUUUUGAGAAAUCAAAUCAUAUUAAAACUUUCAGCAACGGAUCUCUUGGUUCUCGCAUCGAUGAAGAACGCAGCGAAACGCGAUAGGUAAUGUGAAUUGCAGAAUUCCGUGAAUCAUCGAAUCUUUGAACGCACAUUGCGCCUUCUGGUAUUCCGGUAGGCAUGCCUGUUUGAGCGUCAGCAAAACCCUCAGCAAUACUCUUGCUGGUUAUGGGCCGGGAGGAAUGGGCUCAGCCCGCUCCCGCCUUAAACUUGCUGCACGACCGCAAGCUUUAGCGAGGUUAAUGGAGUGGUAAAUACAUAUUCCUGCACUGACCAAAAGCUUUGUGGCGUUAAAACGAUGUUGCUUUCGCAACUGAAGUUUGACCUCAAAUCAGAUAAGGAUACCCGCUGAACUUA
rnacentral:rRNA from 1 species